CCAAUCCCCGGGAGGGGCCCGCCCACUCUCGUGUCCCAUUGGGAAAAUUCAAUUUGACGGCCUCGCCCCUCGCGGACCUGAGUUGUAGGGGAUUGUAGUCCGGGGACUACUGCUUCAGUGUCCUUGGCUGUUCGGGUGGGCAUCGGCAGGAGGACGUAGAUUUGCACCAAAGUCCAGGAGGGCGCCCAAAGCCCGGCCCCUCAGGGUCAGCCUCUUGGAGCGCUGGAGUCCUAAAAUGGGAAUACGGAGUCCAGACUUUCAUUCAACAAAUGGAGGAAAUUGAGGCCCAGAGAGAGCCACCAUGACCAAGGCAACACAAGGAAUUAGCCAAAUAGCUCAGACCUACUGAGGAAAGACACUCCAUCUUUCCUGCUUGAGGCCGGGAGCCUCCUACACACAGGUCUCCAUGGAGACCAAAGGGAGUUGGAGCCUGGGAGGUGGGUUCUGGAGUCCUGUCUGUUAAAUAAAAAUAAUAUCAACUCA